AGGGGCAGCAUGAACUUAGCUUGCUAAGUUUGAUGGCGACCGGCGCACGGGUGAGUAACACGUAUCCAACCUUCCGUUUACUCAGGGAUAGCCUUUCGAAAGAAAGAUUAAUACCUGAUAGUAUGGUGAGAUUGCAUGAUAGCACCAUUAAAGAUUUAUUGGUAAACGAUGGGGAUGCGUUCCAUUAGGUAGUAGGCGGGGUAACGGCCCACCUAGCCUGCGAUGGAUAGGGGUUCUGAGAGGAAGGUCCCCCACAUUGGAACUGAGACACGGUCCAAACUCCUACGGGAGGCAGCAGUGAGGAAUAUUGGUCAAUGGGCGAGAGCCUGAACCAGCCAAGUAGCGUGAAGGAUGAAGGUCCUACGGAUUGUAAACUUCUUUUAUACGGGAAUAAAGUUUCCUACGUGUAGGAUUUUGUAUGUACCGUAUGAAUAAGCAUCGGCUAACUCCGUG
rnacentral:rRNA from 1 species